UUUUGGACAAUGGGGGCAACCCUGAUCCAGCAAUGCCGCGUGAGUGAAGAAGGCCUUCGGGUUGUAAAGCUCUUUUGUCAGGCAAGAAACACCGGCUCUAACACAGUCCGGGAAUGACGGUACCUGAAGAAUAAGCACCGGCUAACUACGUGCCAGCAGCCGCGGUAAUACGUAGGGUGCAAGCGUUAAUCGGAAUUACUGGGCGUAAAGCGUGCGCAGGCGGUUAUACAAGACAGGCGUGAAAUCCCCGGGCUUAACCUGGGAAUGGCGCCUGUGACUGUAUAGCUAGAGUGUGUCAGAGGGGGGUAGAAUUCCACGUGUAGCAGUGAAAUGGGUAGAUAUGUGGAGGAAUACAAAUGGCGAAGGCAGCCCCCUGGGAUAACACUGACGCUCAUGCACGAA
rnacentral:rRNA from 1 species